rnacentral:rRNA from 1 species
UACACACCGCCCGUCACACCAUGGGAGUGGGGUUCACCAGAAGCAGGUUGCCUAACCGCAAGGGGGGGCGCCCUACCACGGGUGAGCUUCAUGACUGGGGGUGAAGUCGUAACAAGGUACCC